GAUAGUGUGAUGUAGUGGUUUGAGCACCAGACUACAACUCUGGAGAUCAGGGUUUGAUUCCCUCCCUGCUCUGCCA